rnacentral:rRNA from 1 species
CAGCAGCCGCGGUAAUACGAAGGGUGCAAGCGUUAAUCGGAAUUGCUGGGCGUAAAGCGUGCGUAGGCGGUGAGUUAAGUCUGCUGUGAAAUCCCCGGGCUCAACCUGGGAAUGGCAGUGGAUACUGGCUCGCUAGAGUGUGUCAGAGGAUGGUGGAAUUCCCGGUGUAGCGGUGAAAUGCGUAGAGAUCGGGAGGAACAUCAGUGGCGAAGGCGGCCAUCUGGGACAACACUGACGCUGAGGCACGAAAGCGUGGGGAGCAAACAGGAUUAGAUACCCCAGUAGUCCCUGUCUCUUAUAA